rnacentral:rRNA from 1 species
CCUACGGGUGGCAGCAGUGGGGAAUAUUGGACAAUGGGGGCAACCCUGAUCCAGCCAUGCCGCGUGUGUGAAGAAGGCCCUCGGGUUGUAAAGCACUUUCAGUGAGGAAGAACGCCUGGUGGUUAAUACCCAUCAGGAAAGACAUCACUCACAGAAGAAGCUCCGGCUAACUCCGUGCCAGCAGCCGCGGUAAUACGGAGGGUGCGAGCGUUAAUCGGAAUUACUGGGCGUAAAGCGCGCGUAGGUGGCUUGAUAAGCCGGUUGUGAAAGCCCCGGGCUCAACCUGGGAACGGCAUCCGGAACUGUCAAGCUAGAGUGCAGGAGAGGAAGGUAGAAUUCCCGGUGUAGCGGUGAAAUGCGUAGAGAUCGGGAGGAAUACCAGUGGCGAAGGCGGCCUUCUGGACUGACACUGACACUGAGGUGCGAAAGCGUGGGUAGCAAACAGGAUUAGAUACCCUGGUAGUC